rnacentral:rRNA from 1 species
UGGGGAAUAUUGCACAAUGGGCGAAAGCCUGAUGCAGCGACGCCGCGUGCGGGAUGAAGGCCUUCGGGUUGUAAACCGCUUUUAAUUGGGAGCAAGCGAGAGUGAGUGUACCUUUUGAAUAAGCACCGGCUAACUACGUGCCAGCAGCCGCGGUAAUACGUAGGGUGCAAGCGUUAUCCGGAAUUAUUGGGCGUAAAGAGCUCGUAGGCGGUUUGUCACGCUGGUGUGAAAGUCCAUCGCUUAACGGUGGAUCUGCGCCGGGUACGGGCAGGCUAGAGUGCAGUAGGGGAGAUUGGAAUUCCCGGUGUAACGGUGGAAUGUGUAGAUAUCGGGAAGAACACCAAUGGCGAAGGCAGAUCUCUGGGCUGUUACUGACGCUGAGGAGCGAAAAGCAUGGGGAGCGAACAGGAUUAGAUACCCUGGUAGUCCAUGCCGUAAAACGGUGGAUGCUGGAUGUGGGACCCUUCCACGGGGUUCCGUGUCGGAGCUAACGCGUUAAGCAUCCCGCCUGGGGAGUACGGCCGCAAGGCUAAAAAC